CUUGGCCAUUUCGACUUUGGAACAGCGGUUCGCGCGACAAUGUCUGGAUCACUCCUUGCUAUCUUCAUUUGCUGCCUGCUAGUGGUAUAUGUAGAAUCCUCUAUACCCUGCGUGGAUGAAGAUGGGAAAACCGUAGCAGUUGGUAAAACUUGGACACGAUGUGAUGGCUUGUGCUGCAUGCAGACCUGCAAGUGUAAGAGGUCCGGCGGCUCGUGUGGGCCUACCAUGUGUAACCUAAUAAGGCUUCCUGAAGGUUGUCGUGUGGCCGACGGACCAAAAGGUAGCGACUGUUGUCCGGUGAUAUGUCCCAAGUGAGCCCUACCAGACUACACCUUCCUCAGGACCAAUGAUCACCACACAUCGCUCAUCGUGCUUACUCCCCCUGUCACCCGUCAGUAAGAAUAAAAAC